UUUGAUGGGUGAGAUUAGAUGGCGAACGGGUGAGUAACACGUGAGUAACCUGCCCUUAACUCUGGGAUAAGCCUGGGAAACUGGGUCUAAUACCGGAUAUGACUCCUCAUCGCAUGGUGGGGGGUGGAAAGCUUUAUUGUGGUUUUGGAUGGACUCGCGGCCUAUCAGCUUGUUGGUGAGGUAAUGGCUCACCAAGGCGACGACGGGUAGCCGGCCUGAGAGGGUGACCGGCCACACUGGGACUGAGACACGGCCCAGACUCCUACGGGAGGCAGCAGUGGGGAAUAUUGCACAAUGGGCGAAAGCCUGAUGCAGCGACGCCGCGUGAGGGAUGACGGCCUUCGGGUUGUAAACCUCUUUCAGUAGGGAAGAAGCGAAAGUGACGGUACCUGCAGAAGAAGCGCCGGCUAACUACGUGCCAGCAGCCGCGGUAAUACGUAGGGCGCAAGCGUUAUCCGGAAUUAUUGGGCGUAAAGAGCUCGUAGGCGGUUUGUCGCGUCUGCCGUGAAAGUCCGGGGCUCAACUCCGGAUCUGCGGUGGGUACGGGCAGACUAGAGUGAUGUAGGGGAGACUGGAAUUCCUGGUGUAGCGGUGAAAUGCGCAUAUAUCAGGAGGAACACCGAUGGCGAAAGCAGGUCUCUGGGCAUUAACUGACGCUGAAGAGCGAAAGCAUGGGGAGCGAACAGGAUUAGAUACCCUGGG
rnacentral:rRNA from 1 species